rnacentral:rRNA from 1 species
UUAGAAAGCUCGUAGUUGAACCUUGGGCCUGGCUGGCCGGUCCGCCUCACCGCGUGUACUGGUCCGGCCGGGCCUUUCCCUCUGUGGAACCCCAUGCCCUUCACUGGGUGUGGCGGGGAAACAGGACUUUUACUGUGAAAAAAUUAGAGUGCUCCAGGCAGGCCUAUGCUCGAAUACAUUAGCAUGGAAUAAUAGAAUAGGACGUGUGGUUCUAUUUUGUUGGUUUCUAGGACCGCCGUAAUGAUUAAUAGGGACAGUCGGGGG